AGUGAACGCUGGCGGCAGGCCUAACACAUGCAAGUCGAACGGCAGCACAGUAAGAGCUUGCUCUUACGGGUGGCGAGUGGCGGACGGGUGAGGAAUACAUCGGAAUCUACUUUUUCGUGGGGGAUAACGUAGGGAAACUUACGCUAAUACCGCAUACGACCUACGGGUGAAAGCAGGGGAUCUUCGGACCUUGCGCGAUUGAAUGAGCCGAUGUCGGACUAGCUAGUUGGCGGGGUAAAGGCCCACCAAGGCGACGAUCCGUAGCUGGUCUGAGAGGAUGAUCAGCCACACCGGAACUGAGACACGGUCCAGACUCCUACGGGAGGCAGCAGUGGGGAAUAUUGGACAAUGGGCGCAAGCCUGAUCCAGCCAUACCGCGUGGGUGAAGAAGGCCUUCGGGUUGUAAAGCCCUUUUGUUGGGAAAGAAAAGCAGCAGGUUGAUACGCCGCUGUUCUGACGGUACCCAAAGAAUAAGCACCGGCUAACUUCGUG
rnacentral:rRNA from 1 species